rnacentral:rRNA from 1 species
GAGGGGGACCUUCGGGCCUCUCGCGUCAGGAUAUGCCUAGGUGGGAUUAGCUAGUUGGUGAGGUAAGGGCUCACCAAGGCGACGAUCCCUAGCUGGUCUGAGAGGAUGAUCAGCCACACUGGAACUGAGACACGGUCCAGACUCCUACGGGAGGCAGCAGUGGGGAAUAUUGCACAAUGGGCGCAAGCCUGAUGCAGCCAUGCCGCGUGUGUGAAGAAGGCCUUCGGGUUGUAAAGCACUUUCAGUCGUGAGGAAGGUGGUAGUGUUAAUAGCACUAUCAUUUGACGUUAGCGACAGAAGAAGCACCGGCUAACUCCGUGCCAGCAGCCGCGGUAAUACGGAGGGUGCGAGCGUUAAUCGGAAUUACUGGGCGUAAAGCGCAUGCAGGUGGUUUGUUAAGUCAGAUGUGAAAGCCCGGGGCUCAACCUCGGAAUUGCAUUUGAAACUGGCAGACUAGAGUACUGUAGAGGGGGGUAGAAU